AAGCCCCAACAAGGGCAUCGAGGUCUCCGUCAACUAGCAGCCCCAUCUAAACCAGUACCUUUGGCCAGUUCCUGCCUCGACUCCCAGUCCACCUCGCCGCAACCGUGAUCUUGCCGUCGCCUCCAAAUACCCUCUGGACCAUGAUUUGGUGGUCGAGCUGAUGUCAUACACCGGAUCCACUCAGCAGUGCAGGCCAGACAUAAGUGUGGGGACGGUAGGGGCGAUGCAGUAGAAGCUCGCGGUGCCACUGGAACACUGGAUGGUCUUGGCGUCGCCUCCCAAUACCCUCUGGACCAUGAUUUGGUGGUCGAGCUGAUGUCAUCCACUGGUUCCACUCAGCAGUGCAGGCCAGACAUAAGGCAUCCACCCGGAGUCUUCCCGAGCUGUAGCUACCCCAGUUGGCCAAUGCUCCAGGGUCCUGGGCAAUGCUGGCGAGGACAACUUCAGCGUCCGAGCCAGGGGUGGCAAGGUCUGCCUCGCCCGCACCGACCAAGAUGAUGAC